rnacentral:rRNA from 1 species
UAGGGAAUCUUCCGCAAUGGGCGAAAGCCUGACGGAGCAACGCCGCGUGAGUGAAGAAGGUCUUCGGAUCGUGAAACUCUGUUAUUAGGGAAGAACAAAUGUGUAAGUAACUAUGCACGUCUUGACGGUACCUAAUCAGAAAGCCACUGCUAACUACGUGCCAGCAGCCGCGGUAAUACGUAGGUGGCAAGCGUUAUCCGGAAUUAUUGGGCGUAAAGCGCGCGUAGGCGGUUUUUUAAGUCUGAUGUGAAAGCCCACGGCUCAACCGUGGAGGGUCAUUGGAAACUGGAAAACUUGAGUGCAGAAGAGGAAAGUGGAAUUCCAUGUGUAGCGGUGAAAUGCGCAGAGAUAUGGAGGAACACCAGUGGCGAAGGCGACUUUCUGGUCUGUAACUGACGCUGAUGUGCGAAAGCGUGGGGAUCAAACA